rnacentral:tRNA from 1 species
GGCAGGCUGGACGAGGCCGCCUACACCCAGGCGUUGCGCUGGUGCGCAGUUGCCAGUGGGGACUGGCAGCUCAUGUUCGAAGCCUGUGCCAGCCU